UGAGCUUUGAUGGCACUACUGCACUCCAGCCUGGGCGACAGAGCAGGACCCUGUCUAAAAAAGUUUCUUGAAGAAUGAGUGUGUAACACAAAACAUUCUUUUGGGACAUCUUUAUUUCUGGAAAACCUAAGACAUUCUUACUUGUGAAGACCAGAAAAAGAACACAUGUUGUUAGGAUUGGCACAGAAUUCAGUGUGACAGUCAAUCUUAAUGCCAGAACACUUGAACGAGGAUUUUUCACUUAUUUUGCUAGUUGUCACCAACAGUAGCAAAAGGAAAAAUAAAAUGCGGAAGAAUGAAAUGUUCUUACUGCAAACCGUACAAGAUCACAUUGAGGGGCUGGAGCUCUUACAUUCAACUUUUCUUUCCUUUUUCUUCUUUUUAAACAAUUUGCGAUUGCAGCCUCUCCUUUUGUUUCCGGUAUUACCUGCCCAGGAGCAGAAUUCCUUACUUUCUCCGGAGAGAGGCCGGUCCCUGGGAGCGCUGCCGGGGGCGGGCACAGGAGGCGGGCGCAGGCGGGCGGCGCCGGGGCCGUGGGGACGCGGCGCCGAGGGGGCGGGGCCUGGCGGGAGGCUCGCCCCUCCCCCACGGCCGGCAGCGACGCCCGGACUCCUAGGCAGUCGGACUCCAGGGCGCGGCACCCCUGCGGACCUCAGCCCCGAGGCCCCCCGCG
rnacentral:lncRNA from 1 species